UGAGUCUAUGAGUCAAAUCCCACUCUGAGCACCAACUCCUGAGAGCAGAAGUAGCAUUAGGAGACACACAUCUGGAAGCAGAAUACCAUGUUAUGUCCUGAUACAGCUGCCCUCACACUUCCUGCUUGAACCAACCCAAGGAGAGCAGAAAUCUUCCACAUAGCAAUCAUUGCCACUAAAUACACACCCUUGUGAAAGCUGGCUUAGUCCUGGUCUUCAUUCCUCACGAACCAAUCUUGCAAAGAGGAUGAGAUGCCAAAGGGAGAAGAAAAGCGCUAUUAAUGCAGCAGUCCAACCAAUAUCCAGCAAGGCAGAAAAUGAAAGCAAGCCGGAUGCAGAAGAGAUCCAUGUGAAUGGCAUGGGGACAAGAGUGGACCGUGGGCUGAUGGCACACAGCGCCAGCACGAUGACGGGGGAUGCUGUUGUAAGAAAUGCAGGGCAAUGGGAGUUUCCCAGGCCGUGCUAACACAGCGGUUUUAUGGCAUCUAAAUCCAUUGCUGUUGGAGAGGGUG
rnacentral:lncRNA from 1 species